rnacentral:rRNA from 1 species
GGUGCGAGCGUUAAUCGGAAUUACUGGGCGUAAAGCGUGCGCAGGCGGUUUUGUAAGACAGAUGUGAAAUCCCCGGGCUUAACCUGGGAACUGCGUUUGUGACUGCAAGGCUGGAGUACGGCAGAGGGGGGUGGAAUUCCACGUGUAGCAGUGAAAUGCGUAGAGAUGUGGAGGAACACCGAUGGCGAAGGCAGCCCCCUGGGCCUGUACUGACGCUCAUGCACGAAAGCGUGGGGAGC